ACUUCUAGCAUUAAAGUAGCCAGUUUAUCAACUAUUAUCAUCUCUGGUUACUUCUUUCCGUUUUUGUCACUCAGUGAAUCAGGUUUUUGACGUCAAAAACUCAACUCUGCUGCAGACACUGUACAAUUGAGAGCAAACGCACUCGUUGGGAUGACCGUAUACAACUAUGUGGCGAUGAGCACUUAAAAGUUGAGACUUACAUUCGAUGAGACUUCGAUGGAAUUGUAAAUCUGAAUAAAUGAAUUGUAAGAAUCCUUUCUGAAAGCUGUUCUACUAACAAAUAUAUUUGAAAAAUUUAAUCAUCUGUAAUUAAAUUUGGUACUUGCCCAUCUAGAAGAAGAUCGCCGAUGCACACGCAUGUGUCCUCUGACGUCAGCACCAGCUUAUUAGUGAUCAGCAAACUGCAGUGUUAAAGUUGAGCUAAGUUUCUCCACAUAAGUUAGAAUGUUAAUUAAACAGAAGUUAAUUAAAUACAACGCUGUAUUGCACAUCGAAUUUUCAACCAAAUAGAAUUGUUCUCGUCUACGUCUUUUAUUUAACUUAGUAUUUGUUUACGCAUUUUAUUAUAACUGUGAUAAAUUUUUGUUUUUUAGACUUCGCAUAUUUAAUGUAUUUUUAUGUACUUCAUUUCAUGUACUUUUGUGUAUACUAGCAACUGCGAUGCAUCUUUGUUUAUGUUCUAUACGGCUUCAUGCCUGUCUUUGUGUUAAUUUUUCGUGUAAAUACCUAAUAAAAGAAUACAAAUGUUUGUGAAAAAAUA